rnacentral:rRNA from 1 species
UAACGACUUGGGCGCUGUCUCAACGAGGGAUCCGGUGAAAUUGUAGUCUCGGUGAAGAUGCCGAGUACCCGUGGCUGGACGGAAAGACCCCGUGAACCUUUACUGCAGCUUUGCGUUGAAGUUUGGUAUUCGUUGUCCAGGAUAGGUGGGAGACUGUGAACCGGGAACGCUAGUUUCCGCGGAGUCACCCUUGGGAUACCACCCUUCGUGUUCCGGGCUUCUAACCCGAUUCCGUUAUCCGGGUCGGGGACAGCGUGAGGUGGGCAGUUUGACUGGGGCGGUCGCCUCCUAAAAUGUAACGGAGGCGCGCAAAGGUUCCCUCAGCACGGUUGGAAAUCGUGCGUAGAGCGUAAAGGCAUAAGGGAGCUUGACUGCGAGACUGACAAGUCGAGCAGGGACGAAAGUCGGCCUUAGUGAUCCGGCGGUGGAGAGUGGAAUCGCCGUCGCUCAACGGAUAAAAGGUACUCCGGGGAUAACAGGCUCAUCCUUCCCAAGAGUCCACAUCGACGGAAGGGUUUGGCACCUCGAUGUCGGCUCGUCGCAUCCUGGGGCUGAAGCAGGUCCCAAGGGUUGGGCUGUCCGCCCAUUAAAGCGGCACGCGAGCUGGGUUCAGAACGUCGUGAGACAGUUCGGUCCCUAUCCGCCAUGGGCGCUGGAGGUUUGAGAGGAGUCGUCUCUAGUACGAGAGGACCGAGAUGAACGGGCCUCUGGUGUAGCAGUUGUCCUGCCAAGGGCAUCGCUGCUUAGCCACGCCUGGAUGGGAUAACCGCUGAAAGCAUCUAAGCGGGAAGCCCACCUCAAGAUGAGACCUCCCAUCCCCUAGAGGGAGUAAGGGCCGUGGUAGACCACCACGUCGAUAGGCGGCACGUGCACGCGCAGCAAUGCGUUUAGCGGAGCCGUACUAAUUGCCCGAGGUCUUGAUUUU